GUCCACGCCCUAACGAUGUCAACUAGGUGUUGGAAGGGUUAAACCUUUAGUGCCGUAGCUAACGCGUGAAGUUGACCGCCUGGGGAGUACGGACGCAAGGCUAAACUCAAAGGAAUUGACGGGGACCCGCACAAGCGGUGGAUGAUGUGGAUUAAUUCGAUGCAACGCGAAACCUUACCUACCCUUGACAUGUCAGGAAUCCCGGAGAGAUUUGGGAGUGCUCGAAAGAGAGCCUGAACACAGGUGCUGCAUGGCUGUCGU
rnacentral:rRNA from 1 species